UACGUAGGGGGCGAGCGUUGUCCGGAUUUACUGGGCGUAAAGCGCGUGUAGGCGGCUGCUUAAGUCGGGUGUGAAAGCCCGGGGCUCAACCCCGGGAUGCCGCCCGAGACUGGGCGGCUUGAGGUCGGAAGAGGGGAGUGGAAUUCCAGGUGUAGCGGUGAAAUGCGUAGAGAUCUGGAGGAACACCCGUGGCGAAGGCGGCUCCCUGGUCCGAUUCUGACGCUGAGACGCGAAAGCGUGGGAGCGAACAGGAUUGAGAUACCGGAGU
rnacentral:rRNA from 1 species